AAAAAGAUAAAAAUAAGAUGACAAGUCUUAGGAAGUGGUGAGCCACUCAGAGAUGGAAUUUGGAUUAUUUUGUUUGGUUUGUAUUAUUUGCUUGACUAAUGCCAGUUGUGUAGAUCUAAGCAACUUGUUACCGGCUGCCGGCUGCCGGCCUCUGCCUUAGGGUUUCGAGGAACCACUUCUCUCUUAAGGUAUUUUUCAUAUUAUGAUUACUCAAUUUUCCCUAUACUCAAAUUAUACCAUAACUAGGAAAUUGAAAUUAAAUGAUUAGUCCUCCUUUUUAUAUUUCUAUCAAUAUAUGACUAGCAAGUUUUUUUUAAUUUAUUCUAAUAGCUAGAGAUAUCUUUGCAAAAUUAUUUUUUCCCACAUUUCAAUGAUCUUAACAACUCGGCUGGUUCACCUUUAUUUUUAUUUCAUUAAUAAUAUGAUUGGCAAAUUAUUGCAUUUCAUCAUUUGUGCCCUAUGCUGUAAAACUUGCACCUUAUACCUGACGAAUAAUGUAGUCUGACAUCAUGAAGCCCUUCUUCAUUUGGAAGUUACACUAGUUUAGUGCAUUGAUGAGAUGUUAAAACAAUUAGGAACAGUAAUUAUUGUCUAAAUAUAUACUUAAGUUAAUUUUUGUUUCUUUCCCUUCACGCCAGGCUGAUUCAAAUAUUAUAGCAAAAUGAAAAGUAGGUAAUUAAUGUUUGACCAAGUAUGAUUGACCAGAGAGGACUAUAUCAAAUUGUUGGAUUAUGUUUCAUUCAUUGAAUUGAGUAAACUAAAAGCUAAUUAUAGUUUCAAAGUUAAAAGAGAAACGAACUUGCUACUUGACUCUAACAGAAGGGGAGGGAGAAAGAGAGCAAACAUACUGUGAAAACGAAACCAUUACAAUCAAAUAAAGUUUUGCUUGAUCUUUAGACUGAAUAAGUUCGAAUUAGUGAAAUAUUACAUCAAGAGCAAGCCUAUGGUACAUUUUGUGGGGUACAUGAAUUUGUUUCUGGGAGUUGAGUUAAUUUUUUCUAUUCAGAGUCCCAAUUUGGUCGUGAAUUUUGUGUAUGUGGAACUACUAUCUGUUGUUUAUUGUGACGUCCUAUGAUUUGCGAGGGAUAGGUGAUGUUCUUUGUCGGAUUAAGUAAGCGAGUUUAUACAAAUUAGUGAUUUUGAGUCGAAUAUUGAGGGUAGGAUGUUACAGUAGGAUAUUUUGUCUGUGUUUAAUAAAAAAAAAUUAUUUUUGAAGUCAAAGAAAUUAAAUAAAUUAUUUGGAUUUCUAACAACCGAUUUGAUUCACUUUUUCAAGUAUAAUCGAUACAAAAAAAGAACAAAUAAUAAUACGAAAAUAAAUUGACUGAAUAAAGGAAAUGAAAAUCGUAUUGAUGCAUGCAACCUUUCUUCUGUGUGAGAGAAAUAAUCUUCUCGAGGCCUCUGAAUUGUUCCAUGUUUUCGCAGGGAAUUCUCGAAGGCUUUCCUUCAGUCUCCUCGAGGCCUCUGAACUGUUCGAAUUCUAAUUCCUGGUGAAUGCCAUAGCGGCCUAAUUCUCUUCAAUUUCCGGGAGCAACAUUCUUUCCCUCUGGAAUCGGUCAAUGAAGUUUCGUAGUGACUUUGUCCUUAUUUGUAUAAUCUUGAAGAUAUCUUACACGUGUUUUUUUUACCUAUUUCUCUCUAGAAUGGGCUUAGAUGAAAGCAUCUUCAAGUUCAUCAAAAGAACUAAUAAGAUGUUCGUGUAAAUGAGAAUACCAUGUUAGAGCUCUUUCUGUAAGUGUCUCCUCGAAUGUUUUGAUGAGCACUGAUCCGUUCUCUUCCUUUAUGAGGUCAAUCCCUUUGAUUCCGAUUGUAUACGCCAUGAUGUGAUCACGAGGGUCCCAGGUGCCGUCAUAUUUUGGAAUGUCGGGCAUCUUGAAUCCCUUUCACGGUUGAUGGCAUUCCGGAAUUUAUUCAAUUUUUUUAUUUUGUUCCUUGAGUUGCCUCUGCAAGGUUAGGAUAGUAUCUUGCCAUUCAACGCUUAAAGUAAUACAUAGGCAUCCAGCUCCGGCUUCUCCUAGAAGUUCUCGGGUUGCUAUGUGAGCCGUUUUGGAGUUGGGGGUUCCAUCAACAGUGUCUGUUCUCGGAGGCGGGGUCGGCAUUAUAGUUAGUAAUAAUGUGUUCGAAACUAAAAAAUCAGAGAAGUAAAGAAACGUUUGUUCAAUAAAUAAAAUAUAAAUUAUUCCGAGCCC
rnacentral:lncRNA from 1 species